GCUGGGCAUUGUGGCGCAUGCCUGUAGUCCCAACUACUUGGGAGGCUGAGGUGGGAGGAUCACUUGAGCCCAGGAGGCAGAGGCAGCAGUGAGCCAAGAUCAUGUCACUGCUCUCCAGCCUGGGCAACAGAGUGAGACUCUGUCUCAA
ensembl:misc_RNA Metazoa_SRP Metazoan signal recognition particle RNA